GGCAGGCCUAACACAUGCAAGUCGAGGGGUAACAUAGUAGCUUGCUACUGAUGACGACCGGCGCACGGGUGCGUAACGCGUAUACAAUCUGCCUCGUACUGGGGGAUAGCCUUUGGAAACGAAGAUUAACACCCCAUAACGUCACGAUAUCGCAUGGUAUCUUGAUUAAAGGUUACGGUACGGGAUGAGUAUGCGUCCUAUUAGCUAGUUGGUAUGGUAACGGCAUACCAAGGCUACGAUAGGUAGGGGCCCUGAGAGGGGGAUCCCCCACACUGGUACUGAGACACGGACCAGACUCCUACGGGAGGCAGCAGUGAGGAAUAUUGGACAAUGGGCGGAAGCCUGAUCCAGCCAUGCCGCGUGCAGGAAGACUGCCCUAUGGGUUGUAAACUGCUUUUGUACGGGAAGAAACACCCCUUCGUGAAGGGGCUUGACGGUACCGUAAGAAUAAGCAUCGGCUAACUCCGUGCCAGCAGCCGCGGUAAUACGGAGGAUGCAAGCGUUAUCCGGAAUCAUUGGGUUUAAAGGGUCCGUAGGUGGACUUGUAAGUCAGAGGUGAAAUCCUGCAGCUCAACUGUAGAACUGCCUUUGAUACUGCUAGUCUUGAGUCGUUGUGAAGUGGUUAGAAUAUGUAGUGUAGCGGUGAAAUGCAUAGAUAUUACAUAGAAUACCGAUUGCGAAGGCAGAUCACUAACACCGUACUGACAC
rnacentral:rRNA from 1 species